AAUGAACGCUGGCGGCAUGCCUAACACAUGCAAGUCGAACGAAGGCUUCGGCCUUAGUGGCGCACGGGUGCGUAACGCGUGGGAAUCUACCCUUGGGUUCGGAAUAACUCAGAGAAAUUUGAGCUAAUACCGGAUGAUGUCGAGAGACCAAAGAUUUAUCGCCCAAGGAUGAGCCCGCGUAGGAUUAGCUAGUUGGUGGGGUAAAGGCCCACCAAGGCGACGAUCCUUAGCUGGUCUGAGAGGAUGAUCAGCCACACUGGGACUGAGACACGGCCCAGACUCCUACGGGAGGCAGCAGUGGGGAAUAUUGGACAAUGGGCGAAAGCCUGAUCCAGCAAUGCCGCGUGAGUGAUGAAGGCCUUAGGGUUGUAAAGCUCUUUUACCCGGGAUGAUAAUGACAGUACCGGGAGAAUAAGCUCCGGCUAACUUCGUGCCAGCCGCCGCGGUAAAAC
rnacentral:rRNA from 1 species